AUGACACUUCUCAGAUCUUGGACUGAAGCCUGGCUCAAGUACGUCAGAGUUUCCACUUCUGACCCGUUUCGGUCUGGUCAGUCCCAAGGUGAUCUUGUUGGGUCUGUUUCUGAUCAAGCUGAACUUUCUUUGUUGGAAGGGAGUGAGAACCUCUUUGAUGCUGAGGUUGCGGCUCAUCAAGAACUGUUGCGGGGAGACCAUAGCUGA